rnacentral:rRNA from 1 species
AACGAACGCUGGCGGCAUGCCUAACACAUGCAAGUCGAACGAGACCUUCGGGUCUAGUGGCGCACGGGUGCGUAACGCGUGGGAACUUGCCCUUAGGUUCGGAAUAACUCCCCGAAAGGGGUGCUAAUACCGGAUAAUUUCUUCGGACCAAAGAUUUAUCGCCUUUGGAUGGGCCCGCGUUGGAUUAGCUAGUUGGUAGGGUAAAAGCCUACCAAGGCGACGAUCCAUAGCUGGUCUGAGAGGAUGAUCAGCCACACUGGGACUGAGACACGGCCCAGACUCCUACGGGAGGCAGCAGUGGGGAAUAUUGGACAAUGGGCGAGAGCCUGAUCCAGCAAUGCCGCGUGAGUGAUGAAGGCCUUAGGGUUGUAAAGCUCUUUUACCCGGGAUGAUAAUGACAGUACCGGGAGAAUAAGCUCCGGCUAACUCCGUG